rnacentral:tRNA from 1 species
UCCCUGGUGGCUAAGAGGUUAAAGUGUCUGCAUCCAAUGUGGGAGACCCAGGUUCGAUCCCUGGGUUGGGAA